rnacentral:tRNA from 1 species
CGGAGUGUGGCCCAGUGGUCUAAGGCGCUUGGUUUGGGACCAAGAGAACGUGGGUUCAAAUCCCACCACUCCGA